UACGAGGGGGGCGAGCGUUGUUCGGAAUUAUUGGGCGUAAAGGGUGCGUAGGCGGUUUGGUAAGUCUUAUGUGAAAUCUAUGGGCUCAACUCAUAGUCUGCAUGAGAAACUGCCGGGCUUGAGUAUGGGAGAGGUGAGUGGAAUUCCUGGUGUAGCGGUGAAAUGCGUAGAUAUCAGGAGGAACACCUGCGGCGAAAGCGGCUCACUGGACCAUAACUGACGCUGAUGCACGAAAGCUAGGGGAGCAAACAGG
rnacentral:rRNA from 1 species